UCUGUCGCUAUUGUCAAAGCAGCAUUCUGGGGUGAAGUGCCUUGUUCAAGGCCACCUCUGCGUGUGAUUCAGGGAAGUGGCAGAGUUUCUCAAUCAUUUUCCCAUCCAGAGCAGAGGAUCUGAACCUCCCAGCCUCAGAGCAGCUACCACCUACCAGCUUCAAAUCUUUCAGCUGCUGCUGCCCCAGGAUGAUAUACUGCCAUGGGAUCCUGUCAAUGCGUGUCUACAUCUGAGCCUCGCAUGGACCACACUGACUAUUCCUGCCUCGUGUGAACUGAGCUCGUGAACGCAAUGACCCCAUCAAAUCAACAAAGCCUGAGAGGAAGGAGAGGAAAAAAGAAAUAUAGCCUCAACAGCUGCUGAAGUGCAGGUCUGAGCUCCCUGGUGGUUUUGCCAGUAAAGGAACACCGUACAUGGGCUGAUCUCCCACCUCCCUCGCCGCUCUGGAUGGGAGAAACAGAAUCUCAUCUGGGAAGUAGAACACCCUCGUCGAAGCCCACCAAGGCCUGUUCCUAGUAACCCAGAGAUGCCUGCUGGCACGGCAUGAAACACAUAACUCUUGUAUGGGAGUGGAUCUGAGGUUUACAGCUUGGGCUCCUUACCCAAUUAGACUGGAUCAUGGAGGCAAAGCAAAAUAGAGUGUUUUAA